UGAUGGCCUAAUGGUUAGAGAGUCCGCCUCGAAUGCGGGAGGUCGUGUGUUCGAUCCCCGGCCAUAAAAA